GACGAACGCUGGCGGCGUGCUUAACACAUGCAAGUCGAACGAAGUGGCGGACGGGUGAGUAACGCGUAAUCAACCUGCCCUUCAGAGGGGGACAACAGUUGGAAACGACUGCUAAUACCGCAUACUGAAGGGGGGGUUUGCGUCUGAUUAGCUAGUUGGAGGGGUAACGGCCAACCAAGGCGAUGAUCAGUCGCCGGUCUGGGAGGAAGAACGGCCCAAUCGGGACUGGGACACGGCUCAGACCCCCACGGGAGGCAGCAGUGGGGAAUCUUCCGAAAUGGACGAAAGUCUGACGGAGCAACGCCGGGUGAUUGAUGACGGCCUUCGGGUUGUAAAGCUAUGUUCAGCGGGACGCGGUACCGGAAUAGAAAGCCACGGCUAACUACGUGCCAGCAGCCGCGGUAAUAC
rnacentral:rRNA from 1 species